rnacentral:lncRNA from 1 species
GCCCGAUGAUCAAUGCUUAGUACUCAUCAACGUUGUUGGAGCAUAAUUUGCUUAGUUGGAAGGAAUAAGGUAGUAUUUUCUUUUGUGGCAACAUGAAUACUACUCCUGCCCUUACUCCGUUUGCUCGUGCGGAUUCGUCGAAGAACAUCGCCCAUGUCGGAGAGAUGUCAAUGUAGAACACCUCUUCGUCAGGCAAGUCGUCUGAGAUUUUCCAAUCAGCUAGGAUUGGGUGAUUGGCAAGGAAGUUUGUUAACGUUUGUCCCUUGACGGCUUUAGUUGAAACGUAGAUGAUCUCAUACUGAUUAAGAAGCAAUGCCCAUUUAGCGAGUCGCCUGUCAAGAUUGGUUUGGACAUGACGUAUUUGACUGGGUCAACUUUAGCAACCAAGUGGAUGGUAUAAGCAUGCAUGUAAUGCCUGAGCUUCCGGAUGGCGACCACUAAGGCAAGACACAUCUUAUCUAUUGGGGAGUAGUUCAACUCAGCACCAGUGAGAGUUCUACUAAGAUAGUAAAGCGCCCUUUCUUUCUGGGAUUCAUUUUCUUGCU